ensembl:lncRNA
GAGGUCUCUGAAUAUCAUCCCUUACCACUUGGGCCGCUCACUAUCAGCCUGUCGAAAUGGAUAUGGAAAUCAUGGAGCAGAAGUAUUGAUGAUCAUGGACUUGUUAAGUCUGAUAUCGAAUCAACUGGAAUGAAAUGUGGGCCUGAAACAGAGGAUGGCUGUGUUUUAAGGAAGGUGAGUUGAGGAUCGGGGAAGGCUAUUCUGAAGAGCUGAUGUGUAUGAAGAGACCAAGUGACAAGAUGAAGAGAAUAGGAAGUUCCUGAGAAUCAAAGUGACACAGUGAAGACUAUUUCAGGAAGAUAACACAUGC